rnacentral:rRNA from 1 species
UACGGAGGGUGCAAACGUUGCUCGGAAUCAUUGGGCGUAAAGCGCACGUAGGCGGUUCGUUAAGUCGGAUGUGAAAGCCCUCGGCUCAACCGAGGAAGGGCAUCCGAAACUGGCGUGCUUGAGUAUGGAAGGGGGUCUCGGAAUUCCCGGUGUAGAGGUGAAAUUCGUAGAUAUCGGGAGGAACACCAGUGGCGAAGGCGGCUACCUGGACAAUUGCUGACGCUCAGGCACGAAAGCGUGGGGAGCAAAAGGG